AGCUCUUUAACCUGAUGGGUCCUGAUAUGUCUGUUGAAGCAAUCCUUCUCUUCAUGCUUGUAUGGGCUACAGGUGUACUGGGAGAGACAUCACCAUGGCAAACGAGCAACAUCUCCAUUGACUCAGACGCAGCUCAUCUACCUUGGGACAGGAUCAUUAAUACAGUGGAGACAGACAGAGCGGUCAAUGUGAAGAGGGCUGUGACCAUGCAUGAUGGACACAAGAACCUCCCAGUCAAAGCUCUGGACUCCA